GACGAACGCUGGCGGCGUGCUUAACACAUGCAAGUCGAACGGUGAUGGAGAGCUUGCUCUCCGGAUCAGUGGCGAACGGGUGAGUAACACGUGAGUAACCUGCCCUCGACUCUGGGAUAAGCGUUGGAAACGACGUCUAAUACCGGAUACGACCUCGGAUGGCAUCUUCCGGGGUGGAAAGAGUUUCGGUCGAGGAUGGACUCGCGGCCUAUCAGCUUGUUGGUGAGGUAGGGCUCACCAAGGCGACGACGGGUAGCCGGCCUGAGAGGGUGACCGGCCACACUGGGACUGAGACACGGCCCAGACUCCUACGGGAGGCAGCAGUGGGGAAUAUUGCACAAUGGGCGCAAGCCUGAUGCAGCAACGCCGCGUGAGGGACGACGGCCU
rnacentral:rRNA from 1 species